rnacentral:rRNA from 1 species
AUUGAACGCUGGCGGCAGGCCUAACACAUGCAAGUCGAACGAGUGGCGGACGGGUGAGUAAUGUCUGGAAAACUGCCUGAUGGAGGGGGAUAACUACUGGAAACGGUAGCUAAUACCGCAUACCAUCGGAUGUGCCCAGAUGGGAUUAGCUAGUCGGUGGGGUAAAGGCUCACCUAGGCGACGAGCCCUAGCUGGUCUGAGAGGCGGACCAGCCACACUGGGACUGUGACACGGUCCAGACUCCUACGGGAGGCAGCAUGGAGGAAUAUUGCGCAAUGGGCGCAAUCCUGAUACAGCCAUGCCGCGUGUAGGGAGAAGGCCUUCGGGUUGUAAAGUACUUGCAGCGAGGAGGCGUUACCCGCAGAAGAAGCACCGGCUAACUCCGUGGCAGCAGCCGCGGUAAUUC